AUCAUUUUAACAUUAGCUUGAAUAACAAUUUUAAAUCUGUUCUUCUCACUUUAAUAACUGAUACUUCCUCUUUCUGAGGACUAUCUAUUAAACUGAUUUUUGGAAUAGGGAGAUGGAAUAGCAGCUUGCUUCAUCCACUGCCUGUUAUUGCAGUACUCAACCUCCAGGAACGGUGGCCCUCCC
ensembl:snRNA U2 U2 spliceosomal RNA